rnacentral:lncRNA from 1 species
AAAUUGAGUGGGAAUUAUAAUGCAAGUACAUAUAUAUAAAACUGAAAAGAAACAGCCAUGGUAAAAUCGAAAAAAACCCCACUAUCUACAUUAUAUACGUAGUACAUCUUGACCAUACGCACAUACAGGUGUAUGCACAGAUACACACAACACAAAUGUUGAGAUCGACGUAAUAUCCACAGUUAGUAGACUUCCACGUUCCAUUGCUCUCCCUUCUUCAGCUGCUUCUUGUACUCGAACCAGUCAAUUCCUAACAUUGUGCAAGCCAAGCAGCAAAAUUCAGCAUCAUUUGGACAUCAAGACCUUCCACACAAAAAGGUUCAGAAGAUUGUAUACAUACCGUCUUUCUCAGCCAGUGUCACCAUGAUCUCAUCGAUACCCUUCUCCAUGCCUUUCAACCCACACAUGUAGACGUAGGUGUUGUCCUUCUUCAGAAGCUCCCACAGCUCCUCCUUGUAUUCCGCCAUCCGGGUCUGGAUGUACAUCUUCUCUCCCUGAGCGUUGGUCUGCUCUCUGCUGACAGCGUAGUCCACGCGGAAAUUAUUCGGCGCUUUCGUCUUCAUCUUCUCAAACUCCUAAAUAAUGUUUCGCAAAAUGCAGCGCAGCUAUGGAGGUUAAGUAUCACAUGAAAAGGAAAAAGAUUAGCUUGUGAUGAAGUGCUCAUGAAAACAGCAGAGAUCGAUGUACUGACAUCCGGGUAGAGCAGCGAACUGCUCGUUGGAACUCCCAAGAAGAGCCAUGCAAGACCGUUGAACUGCACAAGAAUGUAAUUCAAACUUGUUGCUUCCAUGUUCACCGUGGAUUUUAGUUGGCGAUAUGAAGAUUUUGAUACGUACCUGGUAGUCGUCAUGCUUCUCGAAGAACAUCUUCCACAGGAAUGAGCGGAAUGGAGCAAUACCGGUACCGGUCGCAAGCUGGAAGCAAUUGGCAUGAAAGACUAUAAAAUUUCUGGUUGCCGUCAUUAUGCAGGUACUGAACUGGAUCUGACAAUUAAGCUUUACCAUUAUAAUAUUAGCGUUGGGGUCUUUGGGCAUGAGCAUUUCUUUACCAACGGGCCCUGUAAUCUGGACGUCAGCACCAGGCUUCAGGUCACCUGCAUUAUCACCACAAGUCCACAAGGUCAGAUAUUCAGAUAUUAACUAAUAAUAUGAGCGAUUAUUAUGGGGUGUUUGGAUACGAUGUGCUAAACUUUAGUAGGUCACAUAUGCUAAUUAGGAGGACUAAACAUGAGCUAAUUAUAAAACUAAUUGCAGAAUCCCUAGACUAAUUCGCGAGACGAAUCUAUUAAGCCGAAUUAAUUCACCAUUAGCAAAUGGUUACUGUAGCACCACAUUGUCAAAUCAUGGACUAAUUAGACUUAAUAGAUUCGUCUCACGAAUUAGACUCCAUCUGUGUAAUUAGUUUUAUAAUUAGACUAUAUUUAAUACUCCUAAUUAGUAUCAAACAUCCGAUGUGAUAGGUGCUAAAGUUUAGCACAUGAGAACUAAACACCCCCUAUAUAUAUGUCGAGAUCCGGAUGCAUGUUAAUCAAGAGGGUAUUUGGACACAGGUUGCUGACAGUUCUACAUUCAACACAUCCUAAUUUGGUAUAGUGUCAGGUCAAUGCACUGAGCAUUAUUGAAUAAUUAAAGUGCACAAUAAUGUCUGGAGUUAUUCAAACACUAGUAGUAACUACACGAAACAGGGAAAUAAAGCAGCUACUAAACUGUGAUCCACAUUACGAUACAAACCAUUAUAAAAGUUUCAAAUUCCUCAGUCUUAGUGUAUUAAAUUUCAUACCACAUCAGCAAUUUUGCUAACUUGACAAGAUAUUUAUGAAGAGGGAGAAUGAAGAGUUUUAUCAUAUGAGAGUUUUAUCCUAUGAAACUCAACCAUCACGGUUAACUAACAGUGCAAUGAAAUUGUGCACCGACACCACGGAAAAAUUAGUUGCGCCUUUCAGACGACUCACCCAACCUUUUGUUGCCCUCAGCGCCAUUUACGUCGCUUCCGUUAGUGCAACUUGCCGUUGGAACUCAGAUUUUUAUGAAAAUGGCCAAAGUACCCCUGCUACAAGCGGGCCCACUUGGAAGGCUCGAAUUUUCAACAAAAACCAACCGGCCUCCGUUCCGCUCCUCUUGGCCGCAGGCCCGCCGCCGCUCCCCUCCCCUUUCCCACCUCCCGGCCUCCGCUCCUCUCCCGUCCAGGCCAGCGCUCGCCGCUUCUGUCCCGAUCGCCGCCCGCUGCUCCGCUCCUCUCUCCUCUCGGCCUCUGCUGCCUCGCUCCACUCCCGUUCGUGGUGGAGACCGCGCUGGACGAGGCCGCCUGAGCGCGCACCGGCUUGGCUUGGCUGCGCCGCCAUUCUCUUGGGCGUCCCUGAACGGGAGCUUGAAAGGAGCAAGUGCCACGGCUUUCGAGCCUCGGCGCGCCUCCGCUUGCCCGUAAUCCCGACGUCAUGAUGGUGCAGGGGCCGUCCCCUGGGCGCCAUCGAGACCGCCGAUGACGACAAGGAGGAGGCCUCCGCAAUGCUGCGACUACAAGCAGCAGUCCCUGCUGGCGUCUCCCUGCCUGCAAGAGCACCCGUCCAACAACGGCCAUGGCGAGUGCCGCAGUUUAUUUUUGAAAGAAAGGAGCCGCAGGUUUCAGUGGCGGGCAGGAGAGAUAAGAUUGAACGGUGAAAUCAGGAGAGAUAGGAUUGAAUGGUGGUGGGUCCCAUCUUAUUUUGGAUUUCUUUUGAAGAGAGGGAGUGGCUGGUUGAGGUCAGGGGUAAAAUGGACGUUUCCCUCGCUGUUACAGCAGUGGUACUGAGGUCCAAAAAAGUUCACUGGAUGGCAUGAGAGACGUCACAAGUUUUCUGGUGGCAGAUACGGAACUGGAAUCUUUUAUUUUUUUGAAGGUAAUACUUGAAUCUUUUAUAAUGGCUUGAGCGUAAUUGACUCUUCACUAAAGCAUGAAUUUCGUAUGUCCAAAUCUGAAUUCUGGCAACGUAUUGACAGGCUUGUUGUUGCGGACAGCAUAACUCAGAGUUCAUGCUGAGAGAAGAUAGAAGAAGAAUGCAUGCAAGAAGUGACGUACACAAGAAGUUUGAGCAGACUCCUUUGACAACCUCUCCCGCCUCGUUUGUGUAAACAAGCCUCUUGACACACAGCGAGACCUGCAGAUAUGAAGCACAAGUCAGGCUCCUCCUCCGUCACUUUACAGUUUCUGUCUCUCCGUGGUGAGUCAAUCAUCAGUCGUCAGCGAAAAAAAGGUCAGAGGACUCACCGUCUUGGAGUCGCCAAAGUCGCCGAGAGCGCUGCUGGCAAUGGAGUAGAGCCUGAGCUUGUGCGGCUUGCCGUUCUUGUCUUCGCCGUCGGCGAUGACGCCGAUGGACUGGCCCUCUCUGUAGGGGAUCUCGCCUGCAGCAACAACUCGAUCAUGAGUCCUCGAUGGCCUGUGGCUGUGUUGUGGUGAAGCAGAGCAGAGCAGAGGAGGCAGGUUUUUUUCCUUUUUUUUUCUUUUUGAAGAAAGCAACGGGGCCAGGGGGGCCUCGAUGGCCUCCUCUUUUUCAAAAAGAAGAAAGCAGUGCGCCCACUGAACAUUUCAUUCAAGGGGCCGGCGACCGAACGGCCGCGGCGAGAGGAGGCAGUUACAAGUGGAAAGAAAGAAAGGAACGUGCAACGGGACCUUCGGUGCUGAAGACCAUGUGCCAUGUCUCCCCCGGUGCGUCGUCUCCGGUGAUCUUGGUGUUGAGGAGGCACUUGCCGACGUAGGGCUCCUUGGGCCUGUACUUGUUGGUGACGACGCCCUCCUCCUGCUUCUUGGAGACCUUCUUGGGCUUGGCGUCCGCCUCCACGGCCGCGGUGUCGGUGGUAGACGUCUGCGCCCGGAUGACGGCCCGCGCGGCCCUCGGGCGGUAGGAGAGGAAGUGGGCGGCGGCAGGGGACGCCGGCGCCUUGGCGGCCGGCGAGGAGGAGAGGGAGACGGCCACGGCCGUGACGGCGGCCAUGGCUCGCGAAAAUCAGCUGUUGAAUGCGCGGGGAGGAGAAGGGAAGGGAGGGAAGAGCAGGACGGGGAAAUCCGAACUGGAGGAGGCGUGAAGAAGAAGAUGAGCUCCGGACAGUGAAACGACGAUGAGUGGAAGACAGCGAAGAUGACGAGCAUGUGGUUGUGGUGGAUGCGAGGGAAGAAUUCUCUCAUCUCAGUUCAGGCAGCUUCUCAGCCGUCCGAUCACACUCUUGCUCGCCUGGACCUGGCAGGUGGGCCCAUUGGGCUUGGGUACCUGCCAGGAACCUUGAAUUGCCCCCGCCCUAGGGAGUAUUUCCGCCGUUAAUUCCACUGUGACACAGCGUUAUACUUUGUGCCGCAAUUUUUUUUUGCUCAAAAGUACAAUGCAAGGUUAUAAUUUGUACCAAGAUUACUACAAGGAAACCAAACAGUUAAUCAGAACAACGAGGAAACCAAACAGUUAAUCAGAACAACGAAUGCAUUCCUUUCUCUUCCAAUCAACCGAAAUACAAGGCACAAACGACACUAGUUACACUUAUACUACACGGAUCUCAACUGAGCCCAUUUUUUUUCGACAGUACAUCUGAUUUGAAGAACAACUCUACUUAAAAUUUGUACCACAAAUAACUAAAUAAAUCAAUCAACAAAGUUUAAGUUAUUUUGCUCGUUCAUCGGCGGUCGUAUGGCCCAUGCGUCCUUGAUUCCUUAGCACUUGGGCAUGCUAGGAGGACGCGGCAACAUCUGAGCGUCCGGAGUCUUGCCAUUUUUCACGAUGAAGACAGUGUCCAUGCCCCACACCGUGUGACGAUCGAAGUGGCAAUGCAUAAACCACACCCCUAAGAAAAAACAGCACAAAGUUAAUUCUCAUAAAGAUCAUGAGCCAAAUUAGCAAAUUCUCUCUCACUCACCAGGGUUUGCAGCCCGGAAGCGGAUUGCAGCCCACCCGCCAGCGGGCACGGAGACGGUGUUCUGGUACGGCGGGUCCACCAGGUUGUACGCGGCUGGGUCCUUGCUCUCGUCGAAGUUGCCGAACCCUCUGCCCACCACGUAGAAGGCGUAGCCGUGCAGGUGUAUGGGGUGCGGCUCGGCGCCGAGGAUGCCCGUGCCCUGGAACACCACCUCCACGACGGCGCCGUACUCCACCACCUUCACCUUGGUGCCCCGCCUCGUGAACCAGAGCUCCUGCGCCGGCUCGGAAUCCGUGAAGUUGAAGGCCACCGGCGGCCUGUCGGGGAAGUCCGGCUCGUACACGCCGGCGAUGGAGGAGUAGUAGGCGUCGAGAACGUCGACGGCCGGGCUCACGAAGCUGACGUUGUUCAGGCUCGCCGAUAACCGGGUGCCGUUGAUGGGGCCAUCGCACGUCUCGUUGCUAUUGGCCCCGCCGCCGCAGGGGAGCACGUUGACGGAGACGGUCACGAGCAUGCGCUCGUCGACGCGCGCUGGCACGUCGGCGGGGUGGGCCUCGGAGGCCAGGGACCGGAGCCGCGCCGUGUACGCCGUCGCCGCGCCGAUGUCGCGGACGGCCGGCAGGACGGGGAGCUCCGGCGGCCCUGCGGCGUCCGUGUACUCCAGGACGGCCGUGGCGGUGCUGUUGUUGAUGCUGAGCUGCAGGUUGGUCUGGAACGUCCUCGCAGCCAUGUAGUAGCGGCCGCCGCCGUUCGGGGCGCGGCCGGCGUGGAGGAGCGCGUCCACGGUCUGGCCCGACGCGAUCAUGACGUGGUCGGCGGCGAACGGCUUGAGGUAGCGGCCGUCAGUGCCGACGACCGUGAGGCGGUGGCCGGCGACAGCGAAGAACAUGUCGUUGGUGAGCCCCGCGUUGAUGAUCCGGAGCAGGUACGUCUUGCCGUGCUCCACGACCGCCCUGAAGGUGCCGUUCCUGGAGCACGGGAACAUGUCGCCGGGCUGGCCGUUGAUGGUGUUGGCGUCCGAGACGUUGACGUCGCCGCCGGUCCGCUUCGCCUCCUCCAGCAACUGCUCCACGUCCACAUUCCACCACUCGCCUGCAUCCAGAUUUUUAGCCAUAAUUCAUUCAGAAUCUCAGACUAAAACACUGAUCAAUCCUAGCAAUUAAUAUAAUCCAAGUAAUUCAAUGUACCGAGGAUGAUGGGUAUCUCCUUGUGGGGCUUGGGGUAGGGGUAGGUGGAGCCGAGCUUGGGGUGAACAACAAUGGCACCGUGGACGGUGGCGCGGUCGAAGUCGCUGUGGGCGUGCCACCAGAGCGUCCCCUCCUCGUCGGAGAGGAUGAUGGUGUAGGUGAAGUUGGCGCCGGGGCGGAUGGGGCACUGCGUGAUGUACUCGGGCCCAUCGAACCAGGGGUUCCGGGGCUGGUCCACGCCGUGCCAGUGGAGGGUGAUGUUCUUGUGGCCCUGGUUGUGGACGUUGACGACGACGACGUCGCCCCUGCGGGCGUAGAUGGUCGGGCCUGGGAACUGCCCGUUCACGGCGAGGACGGCCUUCUCGUGGCACAGCCGGGUGACGUUCGUCUCCUUUAUCUGCAAGGUAUAGUUUCACACGCCGUUAGAUUCAAAUAAAAUUGUCUUCUUCAAGGACCGGGAUAAAAUUGUCUCCUUUAUCUGCAAGGUUUAUGUGCAACCUUUAAUUUCGAUCAUGUGCAGGAGCAGAAGAAUAAUAGGUAAUGCAAGUGAUCACUAUCACCAGUUGGCAUAAGCAAAAUUGGGAAACUGCAGCUUUCAUGAUUACUAUGGUGACUAGGAUUUCUAGAUGAGCACUGUGAGUGCUAAAAAGUCAAUCUGCACCUCUCGAAAUAUAAAGCUAGCAGAAGUUGCUAGGAUGCACAAUGUAUCUUACAAUUCAUAUUAGAUACCUGACACAUGCAAAUGAAGGCAUGCAAACACUAAGCUAAAGUAUUUCAAAAACCAAAACUUCGACUAGUGCUGAUUACUUAUGGCUGCAGAAUGCAGAUACUAGUCAAGCAGAGCUAGAUUCGUGCAGCUGUGGAACUAACUCGUAAUAACAAGUUGAAACAAGAUGGAUCGAUGGAUCGACUUACAAAGAAGUCGUAGUGGUUGGUCCCGGAGGCCUGCGCCGGGGUAGCUGCAACCCCAAAGGCCACCGCCACCACGCCCAGCAGUAACCAAAGCGCUGGAGGCACCUUAGCUACGCCACCCAUCGUCGUCCGGCGUCGCCGGCCGAAGGGGCAGGCAAUGCAAACCGCUACGCGUAAUUGUGUAUGUGCAAGCUAUUGGGACGAGUGCAAUUAAGCUGAAGGGGCAAUCAAGCAGCAAGCAGAAGUGGGCAGUGCAACGUGCUCUGAGUUGCUGCGGAGGAUGAUCGAAUGAAGCAGGUGCAGCAGGUACUUAUAGGACCGACGGCGACGACACACAAGCAUGCUUCGUCGUCGUCGCAUUGUCACGCACCUAACCUUUUUUAAAAAACUAGUCCAUCGGUUGAAAACUUGGAAUGGUUAUUGUCUCUUGCCUAUCUGCAGGCGUGGCGUGCGACGACUAAUAUAAUUAUUCGGACUUGUGAGUUACCAAUACGAUGUAGACCCACACGCACAGGAUAUGAAGUAGUCUGACCCACAAGGGGAUCGCUUCUGUCUGGGUUUUAGAUGGAAGUAUAGUCCUAUUCCGGAAAGACACUUGGAACAAUCAUCUCUUACUGUGCGACUUUUCGCAACUAGCUUCAUUCGCAAAAAAUGAGGUGAUCACCUUAAGGAGGUUGUGGAGGAACAUCUGAUAGAUGCAGUGCAUCUUCCAUUGUCAGUGGAGGCGCACGCCCAACUUGCUCAACUGCAGGAGAUUUUGCAACAGCUCGAUAAUGCACAGCCACAUGAUUUAUGGGUUUACAUCUGGGGUAAUUCAAUUUUUACGGUAUCUAAGGCAUAUAAGACCCGGAUUGGUGAAAAAGGAAUCCAUCCUAUUCAUAAUUGGCUAUGGAGGUCCAAAUGUCAAAAGAAGCACAAGGUUUUUUCUGGUUGCUUAUCAAGGACAUAGUCAGUACGAGAGAUGUUUUAAGCAGGAGAUCCAUGACCCUAGAGUCUGUAUCUUAUGAAAUGUGCAUACUUCAAAAACGGGAGACAGCAGCACACCUUUUCCUACGAUGCAAUUUUGCCAAGGGUUGUUGGUCAUCAGUUGGUAUCACAUAUACUUCUACCAAACCGAUCAUUUUCAUCUUCAAUGCUAUUCGAAGACAGCUACAAUUACCGUUCUUUAUGGAAAUCAUAGUCCUCAUGACAUGGAGUAUUUGGACGACCAGAAAUGAAUGGACUUUCAAUAAUUCUACUCCAAUGAUUAGGGACGUCAAAUGGAAAUUUGUCUCAGAGUUUCGCCUGGUAGCUCUUCAUAGGGCCAAGAUCCAGAUCCAGUCAGUUAUGUUAGCUUGGGUAGACUCCCUGAAAAUCUUGUUUCUUGUUCUUGCUUUAUGUUCUUGCUUUAUUUUUUGAUCUUUCGGUCAUGUUUUGUAUUUGAACUCUUAUGUUGCUUAGCAUUUUAAUAAAUUCAUUAGGGGACUCCCCCUCCUGUUCCUUCAAAAAAAAAAGUAGUCUGACCUAAGCAAUUUUUCCUUGGACCAGGGCGAGCGACUUUCCUCUGCUGGUGAACUUUUUGCGAAUUUUUCAACCCAAAAUCGGGUAAGGGUCUCUGAACCUACUCACUGCCUCGUAUACUUCUGUACUAAUUAAUGUGUGUAAUUGUGCAACAAGUUGCGUUGUUUUAAUUUUGUGAUGACUACUAAUAAUGCUUCGAAUGCAUGAUUCUCUCUUGCCGAGCUUUAGCUGCAUGCUCUGAUUUUCCCACGUUUUAACUUUCGUGUUCAGUUUUCCGCCGGCGACAAGUGGCACGGUGUCUGAUCCAGAAGCCGCGUGCGUGAAAUACCUUAUUGUCCGUUCGCUAGCGUGAGUUGAUUAUAAUUAUAAAUCAUUUUAAUGUUUUUAAAUUCAUAGUUUUUAUUAUAUAUCUAGACUAUUGUAUAUCUAAAUGAAUAGCCUACAAUUUGGAGGGAGUGCCUAAUUCCGGAGGCCGGAGAUGGAGAUGAUCAAUUUGACUACCAAGUAUAUAUACUACACCAAUAAUGAAUAACGAAGGUAGAUAAUGAACCUAACAUUCUAUGCAAGAUACACUAUCUAUCCCUUAGCUCGUUCAAUCGCACCGUCCGUCUCAACUACCCGUGUAGCCUAGUUAGGCGGUGCAUGCCCCAAUCUACCACAAGCAUGAAAUCUACUCCAUGUGCGAUCAAAUUUCAUGUUCCCACGUGGAGAUUAACUUGUGGCAAGUGGGUGAAACCUGCAGCAAGCAAAUAAGUUAAGCUUUUCUUGUUUUAAGUGGCCCCAUAUUAACUAACUAAAUUAAUGCAGCAUCGGCCUUCUUAAUUUCUCGAAUAUAAUGCUCACGCACAAUAUGAAAAUGGGAUGGAUAUUUUCCAUCCGUCCAAAAGAGUUCAAACGCUAAAUAGGUAGUCCAAAUCCUAAAUCUAAGGGAUUCAUGUACUAAAUGGAUAUUCCGUACCUGAAAUGCCAAAUCCAUAUAUUUAGGGAAAAGUCCUAUUUUCACCCUUCAACUAUGGCAGAAGUAUGAUUUUUAACCCACAACUACAAAAUCAGACAAGGACCAUCCAACUGUCAAAACCGGGCAAAUUUGACCUUUUGGGUGGUUUUGCAUUUUAUAGAAAAUAAAAAGUUCAUAUUUAAUUAAAAAAUCAUAACUAAUUUAUUUCAAAUCAGAAAAAAUAUCAAAUUGGUGCUAAACGUUUUCUGAAAAUGUAACCUAUUUGUAGUGUUCUAUUUGGCAUGAUUUAAAUCUUAGUUGUCCAUGUUCCUCGUUUUUUAUUACGAGCAAUAAAACACCAGGAAUAGUAACAAAUAUGAUGUAAACAACUCCAAAUAUAGUACCAACAAAUAGCCUAUAUUUUUAGAGAACUUUUGAUACCAACUUCAUAUUUUUUGGAUUUGAAAUGAAUUAGUUAUUAUGAAUUAUUUGAUUAAACUAAAACUUUUUAAAUUUCUAGAAAAUGCAAAACCACCCAAAGGGCCAAAUUUGCCCGGUUUUGAUAGUUGGAUAGGCCUCACUGUCCGAUUUUGUAGUUGUAGGUUGAAAAUAUGACUUUUUGCUAUAGUUGGAGGUGAAAAUAGGAUUUUCCCCCUAGAUUUAAUGUCCAAUACCAAGUUUGAAUCUGGAUAAUUAAAGUCAAAAUAUAAUAUAGAUAUGGGAUGGAUAUAUGAUAAUAUGUAAAUAAUGGCCCCAUACCACAUUUGGAUAGCUAUGUCCUCCACACCAAUUCUAAAAAUGUUUAAAAUUAACAUGAAAAAUUCAUCAUUAAGAUUUUAUCAUUACUAUAAAUUUUGAUAAAUUAAAAAUAAACCUAAAAAUACCAAAUUUAAAAUUUGAAGUUCACUAAAAUACUACAAAAAUUCAAAUAAAAUGAACUAGAGAAAGUCAUCGUUAAUAUUUUAUCUAGAAAUUUUUAUAAAUAAAAAAUAAACCUAAGAAUACCAAAUUUAAAAAUUUCAAGUUCACUAAACUAAAACAAAAAUUCAAAAUAAACGUAGAAAGCAAUAUGCAAUGCUAGGACCCAAACAGAAUAAUAUAUAUGUGUUUCUUGCAAGUUCUGAUCCAAUAGGUGGACCUCGCUCUCUCGUGCCCCGGCUAUCCGUGCCAUCCUAAUUAGUAAUAACUGAACUUCUCAACCAACUGUAAAUUCCCUUCUUGACCCUUUUUCCCUUAUCUUGAUAAAUAUUUUUUUUCCUUUCUUUGUAUAUAAAAAAUAAGGUAGGGGCUCCCCUCCUGAUUACGUCAAAAGAGAAAGAUAAAGUGAUUCCAUUUUGACUUGAACCAACAACGAAAUACGUGCGCACAGACGACUUUUCAAAUGGUGCAUGCAUGCCACAGACGAAACACGAAAGCAAUUAAGCGCGUGGUGGGUGGAUCCGUGGUCCCGUAGAUGUGACUUGUGAGCCAAUAGUGCAAUAGCCCAGUAACGAGCUGAACAAACUGGGCAUGUGCAUGGAGGCUAUUAUAUUAUUAGGAACAGCCCAACGAGGCCUAGAGCAAAACUCGAACACGAAGCCGUGAUUUAUUUAUUUAUGAGUUGAAUGAAGUUGAAGGUGGAUCCAUAUGCGGCAAAUCGUCCUGAUAUGCCGUAAUAACAAAUCCAUAGCUAUUGCACUAUUCCGAACCCUCUUUCUUUUCCCAAAGCUACAGUAGAGAGGGACGAGUUCCGAGCGAUUCUCGAUCCCGCACCCGUUUCUCGCCGAUUCUUCUCUUCCGACGGCGUUGCCGGCGUCGGAGGUGAAGGGAAUCGGCUCGAGAAGCGGGUGUGGUCCUGUAUAUCUGCUAGUUAUAGGUUUAGCUUAGUACAUUAGGUUGUCCCGCUGUCGGUGCCUGCCGGUGGCUUUAAGUUUCUUCUGUUGUUGACGCUCGCUGGCGGUAGUUCGGAUGGUUCCGGUGGCUCUUUGUAGCUGGCUAGUUCUUUUGUCCCUCCAGGCGAUUUCCGGUGGUGGCAACGAUGACGAAGCCUUCCUCGGAGAUGGAUCUGUGAGGUUUGUCUAUUCCCUACUCGAGAAAUCAGGUUGGUUGCUUUCCCUUUGGGUUUCUUCCUCGCUAGGAGUUUGGGAUCAUCGGCAAUGCUUGUGGUGUCUGAUCCCUUACUCUUAGCGAAGAUUUGCCUGGGCGUUUAGCGAUUUAGUGCACAUCUUGUGAUGUGCCGACUCACGUGGCUUCAAAAAUGUAUGGUGCUUCUUUGGAAGCUUCUUCGUGGAGGUUGGAUUCGGCUUCAAGAUGUAAUCUUGGCGUGGGGUGGUGGCUCCAUUCUCCAGCGACGAAUAUGACCGGGAAGAGAUCUUUACAAGGACCGGAAUGUAAUUUUUGUUUUAUUCAAGGGUAUCUUUGUAAAUAUGUAUGUGUAAUCUUUCAUAUGAAUCAAUAAAAUGCAACCUGGUUUUCUAAAAAAAAACGGCUAUUGCACUAUUCUAACUCCAAUACAUAGCAAUCCAUAGUCUCCUUUAUUUAUAUAUGCAUGGUCUCUUCUCAACUCCCUCCAAUCCAUAGCAAGAGACUAUUCGAUUUGAUAUGCGUAAUAAAAUUUCUCCAGUGUUUUGCCCUAGAAAAAGCUUCGGCUACCGUAUACCUCUCACUCCAUCCUACAUUAUAGCUCGUUUUAAUUUUUAUAGGUUAAUAGUUUUUACUAUAUGUCUAGAUAUUACUAUAUCUAAAUACAUAGCAAAAUCUAUGAAUCUAGAUAAGCCAAAACGACAUGUAAUUUGAAAUCGAAAAAGUAGUAUUUAGGUCGGGAGGUGUAUUAAAGUGACAUGCAUAUAAUUGAAAGCUAAUAUAUAGUAUCCCUAUUAGAUUUACGAAAGUGAUAUGCAUAGUAGCUUUAAGUAUCUCAAAAGCUAAUGUGCCUGUAGAUAUGAGAAAGUGAUGAGGUAGGCUUUUCAAAGCUUAUCACUUACUAGGUUAGAUAUAUGAAAGCAGCUUUGUCUCCAAACUUACUUUUGUGUAUUGUAUUUUGCUAUGGUAUUAUGGGUAUAUAGUGACGGAGAUCAAUGAUUACAGCUGUAUCCCGAAGGACCGUGUCCAUCACAAGUCGUCCUCUAUAUUGAAACCAUGGACGGGAUCAGGACGACUAAAACGUGGGCACUAGUUGUUUGCUUUGUUUGGUAUAGGCAAAGGAAAAGAAAGACAGUCCAUGCAAGCAAAGAUCAAUCCACCAUCUCCGCAAGGACAAAUCAUUAGCUAGUAUGAAGUUUCAAUUACACUGAGUAACCUGUGGGAAGAAGCUUCCAAAAGUUUGACAGAGAAAUGCCAGGUCAAACUGCCGUGCACUCAUGCUAAAGUCUGCAGAAAGACCAUUUCAAUCCACGCAGUCUUGGGGACAGAGAAAUGCUCAGGUCAAAUUGCCAUGCACUCAUAAGUCUGCAGGAAACAGAACAGGUGGUUCGCCUCUGAAAUCAUAUGCUAUAAUAUUCGGUUUCGACCUCGUGCGCAGCCGGGAUGGGCCUCUUCUCGACGCGCCGCCAUGACCUCCAAAGAAAAAUUCUUGAGGUGAGUUUAAACAUAUAGAAUGCAGGUUCGGUUUGGAAUUGGAAGAAUUGUAACAAAAAGAAACGGAGAAUGCCGGCGAUUUAGAGAAUUAAAGACAAACAUGUGCUCCGCGAGAGGCACAUGCAUGUACAUUUCGUAAAUAAAACGUUCUAAACAUGCAAGGAGAAAGAGCCUGGCCCGCACUAUCGAAAACAAAAAUCCAUGCGUGCUGCUUCGGAACAAAGAAGUCCGUCCAAUAAAUCCAUAUGGAAUGUACGAGUCUUUGGCGUCCAAUAUUUUUUAGUGUUUUUUCUCAAAUCGCCAUAAACUGUUAAGUAUGAGCUAUGUUACAAUGAUUGUUUUCCUCAAGUGGCAUGAGGCUUUGUAGUCCAAUUUGGACAACCCAAGGAGAAUACAAAUUAGCAACAAAGAAUCCUAACCAACAUUUUGCAAUAAAAAAACCGUCAUCCACCCAGUAAAUAAUCCUCACAAAAUAUCUUUAGUAGAGUAAAAAACCAUUGGCUAUUUUAGAAAAUUCUAAAAAAACAAUAGAAGUCAAUCAUUUGUAAAAUCACUCGAAAAAAAGUUAUAAGCUACUAGUGUAAUUUGGAUCUUAUGAAAAUAUCCCAUGCGUUUGUAUCUUUCUCAAAAAAAUUAUGCUUGUUGCCUCCUCUAAGGCUUUUUUCCCCCCUUGAGUAGGUGGGUUUGUCUUGAGAGAGGCUGCACUACCUAUUGCUUCGCAGGGAAAUCACUGCUAGAAAAAUAUUCAAAUAUACCUCUAAGAUUAGAAUUAGUCAUCAGUCUCCGCUCGCAAUAGAAGCCGACAACGAUAAUUCUCCUAAGUAUUAUCCAUAGGUGCGGAUACCUCGAAGACUAUCUAUGGUUCCAGCUCUUGCUGCAAGCCAGCACUUGCCGAUUCCUAACAAGAGCCAUCACGGAUAGUCCGAUCUACGUAUAAACCAGUUACCAGUUUCAGUUUGUGUUUGUUUGGAAAAUUCAUAACGUUCUGUGGAAGAUCCAUAACUCAGACAAAACUUGGGCUCAUGUCAUCAAACUUUUUCCAUGUAGGUAGGCUGUCGAAGCCCAACCGAUGACCCAUCAAAACCUGGCUGGGCUCAUCUCGAGAUGAACAUGAGCAACUCAUUUCAUCAGACCCAACAAUUUUGUAGAUCCAGGCCCAUGGGUGCUAGCAUAAGCUCGGCCCAGAGAUAGCUAAGAUGAACCAAGUUGGGCCGGAUGCACGUUGGGCCACACAUAGCGCAGUUAGCGCUUUGUCAGAUUUCUUUACGAGGAGAGGCGGUCCGAUCACAAUCCGAUCAAACUAUCCCUCUCCAUAUUAUCGAACUGAACACAUACGCUAAGUGCGUAUAAUCCUAUGUGGGGGGACCUCAGUUUGGGAGGAUCAACGCGGAAUAGGGGGCGCAGAAAGCUCGAUUCGAACAGAGAAGAAACGGAAAAGCAGCAGCGGAAGAAGUAACCUAGGGACUUCGUGCCUCCCUGCAAUGAUGCCCACUUGGGCUCCUAACUCCUAAGCAUCAUUGCAGGUGCUCUUCUAAUGUUGCCCUCGCAUUAACCAAACCAGUCAGCCAUAGAAAUCUUCAUCUCAACAGUUCGAGAGGAAUGAGAAGCUUCAGGACUUCAGGUGGUUUAUGGAGUAUAUAUCAUACAGCCACUGGAGUACUAUCUGUCAACAGCACAUUGGACAUGGGAGUGUGCGAGCUUAGGUUUUCCCUAAGAUAUCCGGAUCCUUUGCUCGUCUUCUGUUAAGAAGGGAAAAGUACCAAGUUAGCAAGUGGCAGGCGCUCGAUCCGAUAGACCGAUACAUAGGAAUAGGAGGCAGUGAUUGCAAGAGAGCCUGGUGCAUGAGGAGAAAAUUAACAAUGCCCAAACCAUGAUCAAAUGCAUACGCUUAUAGCCUGUUGAAAAAUGAAAACCAGUGCGCCUUCAGUUUCGAAGCCCUGUGCCCCUGCAGGUCGCCACGGUCAAACGGCUUUCUUUUAUCUUUUACUGAAACUCUCAGCCACAGGCAACUACUGCAGCUUCUCACUUCGCUCACUCUCCAGAAAGCCAUUGAUGUAAUUUAACUCUUUGCUGGUAGUGUGGCUAUCGUCCUCAGCAGUCUCCUCAUCAAACCCAGCGAGCUUCUCAAAUACGUCCUGUUCUUCUGACUCGCUAUGGGAACUAUAGAGCUGCACACCCAUCUCCUCAUCAGAGUCAUCAGACUGCUGAGAGGCACCUGCUUCUUCCGUCUCCUCGCCUGAACCAUAGAAUUUUUCAGGGUCACUAUCUUCGGUCAUGUCUUCGCAAUAAUCAGAAGGAGUGUUGCACUGUAGGACCUGAUCACGAAGCACCAAGUAUGAGAAUUGUGUAAAACAAAACAACUAAAAACACAUCGGACAGAUAAACAAAAGGACAACCUUUGCCUUUAUUUUGUUAGCAGCAUUCUUCAGAUAUUUCUCGCUCGCCCUCCUACCAUGGCAGGGCAAACAAAACUGGUAUACCAAUCCAAGAUUCCCACACAGAUAUUCAACAUCACCUGAAAGGUUCCACAGCCAAAUGUCACCAAAAAAGGAAAGGAAACAGAGGACCGCCGGGGGGGGGGGGGGGGGGGGGGUGGAGUGCAUCUGAUCCCAAACAAAAUAACAAAAUACAUAGUAACAUACCAUGAGAAUAACUGGCUUCUGGAAGAAUUACAAGUACAAGUGAGCCUUUCCCUGUUUUAAGGUGACCGAAGAAUUCGAAUACAGUGAACAAACCGGCAUUGAUAUCAGUCUAUCGAGAUGAGUUUAUAUGUAUCAACAUUUCUGGAUUCGGGCUUAAAUCCUGCUAAUCAGUUGUGUAUAGACAAAGUAAGAUGUGCUAUAUAUGAUUACUUGAAUGCCUUAGUCAAGGGAGGAGAGCAGAACGUUACCACUCCAAUGCACAUGCACAUAUUUCCAACCUUAGAUAAGAACCUGAGUGACUCUUUGCCACUUAUGCGUGAAAAAUUCACACACGCCCAGGUUUUUACAUUAGCAGUUUUAGCCUAACAGGAGAAAAAUGCAUAAAUGUGAGAAUGUUGUUAUAAUAUAGCAACAUGACAGAUAAAAAGCUAGUACGACUGAUAAAAGAGAUGCAUGAUAGUAAGAAUGAUCAAGCACAUAUCAUGUUAAAUUAGGGAUAAUUUUUGUAAUUCAAUUUAGAAUGAGUGGUUGUACAUUAGGAACCGCUUAAAACUCGGACAGCAUAAUCAUUCUCAAACAACAUCAUUCGAGUUUAUCCGCCACUGCCAUAGUGUGGCAUGCAUAGUAAAUACCAAAGACGCACAUAAAUUAAGUAUUGUUAAAUGGAAUCAGACAACUAUAUCAUAUAAGUGUUUCAGACAGAUAUUGUCAAACCAAAUUCCGCAGGAAUUUAUGUUUUGGACGCGAACAACAAGCAAGAUCGGAUCUCAAAUGUAACAAAAUAGUACUAAACAGUCUGCAAUACCUGUGGGAUGGCAUCAGUUAUUGUGGUGAAACCCUCAGCUGGCAAUAGCUGCUGCUCACUCGCUUUUCUAUCUGGAGAGCCACUAAUAUGGCCUGCCUCGGGUUUCUUCUCUUCAGAACUGUAUUCCCUUGACUCACUGUAGGAACUACAGAGAUGUGUAGAUUCCAUCUCUUCAUAGUCAUAGCCAUCAUCUUCUCUCAUCUCUUCGUAGUUGCAGGCAUCAUGUUCUCCCAUUUCUUCGUAGCUGUAGGCAUCAUCUUCUCCCCUCUCUUCGUAGAUGUAGCUAUCAUCUCCUCUCAUAACCGUGCAAGAAUCAGAAAGUGUAUUGCACUCUAUGACCUGAUUAAAAAAAUGUAAGCAUGAGAAUUGUGCAAAUAAAAAAUAAAAACGCAAUAAAACAUGAAAGCUGAUAUUACCUUGGCCUUUAUUUCAUUAGCAGCGUCCUUCAGAUAUUUCUUCUUCAACAUCCUAUCAUACAGGGGCAAACAACAAUGAUAUACAACUCCAAUUUUCUUACAGGUCUCUUCAACUUUGUCUGCGAAGUUGCACAUGCGACUAUCACAACAAAGAGAAAAAGAAAGGUGCGUGUGCGUCGGAUAUAAAAAAUGCUUCCAUACCAUCUGAAUAUCUGGCAUCUGGCAGAAUUACAAAUAGAAAUCUUGCCUCGCCUUUCUCCAUUUCAUGGUGAUCGAAGAAUUCGUGCACUCUCCGCAAACCGUUUGCUAUAUCAGUGAGACAAGGAUUGCUCAUAUUCACCUGGUUGGCUCCAGACUAAAAUCCUACUAGGUUGAUAAUCAAAAUCAAAUGUGUCAGUAUGUGAUUAUUUGAACGUGUUAGUCAUCAAGGGGAAGAGGGCAAGGCUUUACCAUUCCAAUGUUGACGAACGUUCUACCAAGAGAACGUAAGAACCUGAGCGAAUCUUCACCACCUAUACAUUUACACAAGCCCAGCUUUUUACAUUUGCACUUCUAGCCUAAUAAUAUGAGGAAAAUGUUAAUAUGGGAAUGCUGUUAUAGUAUAGCAGCAGGACAGAUAAAAACUAAUACGAAGGAGAGUUGCAUUACAGUAAGAAUAACUACUCAAGAAUAACUACUUAGAGAUAAUUUGUACUAGAAUGCAUGAUUGUACACUAGAAUACUAGAUACAACUUGAAACACCAAUGGCGUAUAUAACUCAUUCUCACAACAUUAUUUGAGUGCACUUGGCACUGCAUAGCAAGUAGCAAAGAGGCAAAUAAACAAAGUAUUGUUAGAUUGAGGAGACCACAGAACUGCACCCAACAGAUACUUUCAAACAGAAAAAAGUAGUACUCAGAUUUUCUCUUAAAAAAGUAACUGAUGUGGCCUGCCUCAGAUUUUCCGUAACUCGGAUUGUCUCUAAAAAAAGAAGUACUCAGAAACAAUGAUUCAUUUUCGUUGGGAGCAGCGAGAAGGGAUCUUCAAUGUUCCAACUUACAGCGUGCAAUACCUGUAGUUUGGCGUCAUUUGUCGUGGUGAAACCCUCAGCAUCCCAAUCCGGAGAGUAACUGGUGUGUGGCCUGCCUCGGGCUGUUCUCUUCAGGGGUGCCGUUACCGUACCCUGCGGAACUCUCAUUCUCUACAUGAGCAACAGCUGGGUCAGAGUUACUGUAAGCAGAGGCCCUGUCCUCCACAGGCUUUUUGCUACUGAUCUGCCGUUCUUGCAUUGCAUCAAUGUCUCCCAUGGAGAUGGUAAAAUACGGUGGAGGAAAAAAAAAAUUAACCGGGGCACAAGCUACCGUCGCCGGGACGCAGCACCUCUGGGAUCCCCAUCGUCGACGCCGCCGUCUCACUCGUCGACCGCACCGCUCUAGGCUUUGAAUUCGUGGGGAAUUUUCCUGCGUUUGUGUCUGCUUUCUGAUUUAUAUAGGGUUCGGAUUGGUGGUGUUCUCCUCCUUGGCCUCCGAGUAUCUGGAGAAAGUAAUCCAACUUCACGGAAUAAGCGCGCGAAAAUGGAAACAUCCCGAGUACAAACAAGUUGAACUGUUGGAGUUGGAGUCGAUCUGAAUGAGUUUCGGUUUCGACGGAAGAAAUCGGGCAAUACCGCAAUAGUGACUGUGUUUGCGCUGGGAUUGAAAGGGCUGAUGGACUAAGAUAUUUCCGGUUCCCUGGGCUGGGCCAAAUCAAAUUUUGACAUAGCACGUAGCAACGCAAGGCCCACUCUUCCAUCGGCCCUUUUUCAUUCUCAGCCCUCGGCUUCGUCAGAUUUCUUUACGGUAAGAUUAGAGACACGAUCCGAGGCAGGCCAACGCAACCAUCUUUAUUCCUCCAAUGUUACGUAUAUUCUAUAUAGAACUUCAACACCUACUCAUGGUGAUAUGGAGUAUAAUCGCAAGAGACCUUUUCUGUGGGGACCUGAACCUGAGCUCGGGUGAACGAUCGAUCAAUGCAGGAGGGAGCCUCGAUUCGAACCAAGCGGGAACGGAAAAGAAGCAGGCUAGGUGCCAUCCCGCAAUGAUGGCCACUUGGUCUCCUAACCAUGAUGAUUACAGGUGCUAGACCUGAGAAACAAUCUUCCAGAACCCGGAUGCCUGCAGACAAGCCGAGGCAGAAGCAGAAGCGCCAUAGACUACUAGUCGCCAUCUUCGCUAACCGAUGGAAUGGUCCAGUGAAGGACCAGAAAGCUAAUUAAGCUACAUGUGUUUGAGUGUUUCGUGGUCUGAGAUUUUGCAAUCAGCUAGGUCAAACCCACCCUCGGCCGGAGACCGGCAGGUUUCAGGUCAGCUCCCCUCGCGUUGGACACGGUGGCUUUCAUUAGCCAUGGGACUCGGAGCUCUGAUUUUCCUGAAAUGGCCGGAUCUUCUGGCAAGCCUCCCCUGUUAAAAAGGGGAAAGUUCCAAGUGGCAGGCGCUCGAUCCGAUACAUGUACUACAUAGGUGGCAGUGAUAGCAAAGAGACAAAAGAUCCUGAUGCAUGAGGAGGUAUUAACAAUGCCUUAGGGGCUGUUUGAUACGAGGUGCUAAACUUUAACAGUGUCACAUCGGAUGUUUGGAUGCUAAUUAGGAGGACUAAACAUGAGCUAAUUAUAAAACUAAUUGCAGAACCUUGUGCUAAUUCGCGAGACGAAUCUAUUAAGCCUAAUUAAUCCAUCAUUAGCAAUGGUUACUGUAGCACCACAUUGUUAAAUGGGAACAAUUACAUGUGCGGAGGUGCAGCAAGUACUACCUCCGUCCCUAAAUCUAUAACAUUUUCAUUUUUUUAGUCCUAGUAUGCAAGAUUAGCCAAGUGCGAGUCUACACCGCAAAUACAGAUACCGUUUCCCUUUCCCAAAAUUGUUUUAAUGUAGGCGACCACACAACUUGCCCUCCACAACUUGCCAUCCACACAUGCUCCAUAUGCCUGCACCUAAAUUACUGAAUACUGAGAUACACACUCGAUCAUCUGAUCAAAUAUAAUCAAGUGUAGCUCGAUCGCUAAGCCAGGCCGAUGCACUCUAUUUAAACCUAGCAAGGAACUUAUAGCGAAGCAAACACAUCUCGGAACACAUAGACUACAACUAGAACGAUACAGCCUGUGUGUGUGUGUGAGAGAGAGAGAGAGAAUGGCUGCUGGCUCUCAGACUAUCAUAGCUCCCACAGAUGCUGAGCUCCUGCAGGCGCAUGCCGACCUAUGGCGCCACAGCCUCUACUACCUCACAUCCAUGGCGCUCAAGUGAGCUGUCGAGCUUCACAUCCCAACUGCUAUCCAUACCCUGGUUGGGGCCUACCUCGCUGCCGNNNNNNNNNNNNNNNNNNNNNNNNNNNNNNNNNNNNNNNNNNNNNNNNNNNNNNNNNNNNNNNNNNNNNNNNNNNNNNNNNNNNNNNNNNNNNNNNNNNNUCCGUGCAUUAGUUUUGUAAUUAGCUUAUGUUUAGUACUCCUAAUUAGCAUCCAAACAUCCGAUGUGAUAGGUGUUAAACUUUAACAGGUGUUUCCCAAACACCCCUUUAAUCAUGAUUAUAUGCAGAGGCUACGCUUUAACCUGUUGAGAUAUAGUAGCUCGAGAUUGUGCACUGAAAGCAGAGCGAAAUGUUUACUAUUGGUAAUCCGAGCGCAGAAAAGCAAAUUUCAAAACACAUCUCGGCAUCGCACUAGUGUGUUUCCAAAUUCGAAUUCCUGAUUGAGGUCACACAAAAGUUGUGCUAAUAAUACAAUAACUGAAACUUGUGCUAGAACGAAAAAUAGUAAUAUUUUUUAGUCCUUAGGCUAUCCACACCGCCGAAACCCCAUCCCAAUCUCUAAAGGGGCAUGGCCCACCCGUCAGGUUUGGGUAUAGAGGUGUGUAAAAAAAAUUGCUGCCCCACGGACACCUCUAUCCCAAUCUCCAUCGCCUUCCUCUGCUCGCGUCCGUCGCGUCCUCUUCCCUCCCUCCGCGUGCCGGCGGCAGCCUCCUCCCUCCCUCCAUGCGCCGGCCCGACCUCCUCCCUCCCUCCGACGCGGCGGCCCGGCCUCCUCCCUCCGCGCGCUGGCGGCCUGCUCUCCCUUCAGAGCGAGGAUAGCGUUCGGUUGCUGGCCUCUGGAUUUGGAGGUACACUGUAGCAAUCGGUAGGAUAGGGAUUGAUUUACAGGUGUGCGGUGCGGGAGGAAAAACUCUAUAUUUGCGGUAGCGGGUGAUUUAGAGCACUGCGAUGCGGAUAGUCUAAGGCCUACACUUGUUGGGCGCAGAAGAUACACACCUGACAGCCCAAGGGCCAUUUUUUUUUUGCUCCCCUAGUUUUCCUUCUUCCGGACCACGCACUGCCUGCCGUCUUUAAUUUAGUGGCGGAAAGGUAGGGUUGUUCAAACAAAGGUGAUCCACUCCAUUUAACAAAGCAAGUACACUCAAGCAUUAGCCCGCCUAACCUUAGCCGCUAACGAAAAGACGCCGAAAACGCUAGCGAAAUCGAUCACAGUAGUACUCCUACACACUAGGUCGUCGAUAUAAAGAAUCUCGAUAACCUAUAGCGUGUAGCUGAAAUCCACUACUUUUGCCUGCAACUUUUGAUCCAUGGCAUGGUUCAGUAAACCGGAAGAUGAGGAGGAGGAAGUGGAAAUUCAGCUGACCAUUGUACUGCUGCGACAAAGAACAUGCAUUAACUGGUAGUCUGGUACGGCGUGCCAGCCCAGCCCUGCAACUAGGUAGGAGGCCCAUCCCUGCUCAUCUGAUCCCCACCACAAACCCUGCAAGAUCCUACCAUUCCUGAGCUGAGCACGCCCGUCUUGACUUCUGCACGGCCACCCUGGUCCCUCUUUCACAUGCCCGAUUCCAAUCGCAGUCCUAAUCCCAAUUCAAGACCUUUGAUGCGGCAGAGAGCCUUCGUUCAACCACUCAAAACCAUGGUCUUCAUUCAAUUUGCAGAUGACCUGAGAUCAGAAUUCAUCAGUGAUGUAUGCAUUACAGAUUUACAGCUGCACUGCAAAUUUACUCAUUCCCCUCACUCAGUCACUCCUGACCAAACCUGAGGACUGAGGACACCUCAAAUUAGGAUAUUAACUGGGUGAUUAGCAUCUCAAUUAAAAUAUCAGAGAUAUUGCAUCUAAGCAUUCCCUUCUCUCUCCUCCCCCAACCACCUCGCCAUGAUAUAAGUAGAGCCACCACACCAGAGGGCCAUUUCCAAGGGCUCUACACGAAGUUAGGCGGCCAAAGUGUUCGUAACCAAUUAACCCCCUCUUCCCCAGUGAAAGUUUCAGACGCCCGUUUUAGCAAAGCGGGGCUACGGGAGCUCGGCCAGGAUGAAAUUUAUGAAACUUGGCACCCGGCCGGACACCUUCUUCACCUCCGAGGCCGUAAGGUUGUGUGAUUGCGAUCUUGCUCCUCGGAUUCUGCCUGCGUGUGUUCGUGGUGUUCGUGUUGUCUGAUUCCGUGGUGCCGUUCUGCGUCCAGGUCUGUCUCCACGGAGGUGGCCACCGACCUGCAGAUCCUGGUGGAUGGCUGCAUAUAUCAUCUCCACAAGGUAAUUAAUCGAAGGAGCAGAGAUUAUUUCCCCCCUCUAUCAUCGAAUGAGCAUUUGUUGCGAUUUUGUUUCUGGGUUUUCUUGAUCUUGAAUGCAAUUCUGAGAUUCUUGGUUCUUUCUGGCAUUGUGUUGUUCGUGAAUGCCGCAGUUCCCUCUGCUCUCGAAGUGCAUGCUCCUGCAAGCGCUCUGCGCCGACUCCGGCGCCAGUGUCGGCGGCGACGUCGUCGAGCUCCCGGGCUUCCCGGGCGGCGCGGAGGCGUUCGAGGCCUGCGCCAAGUUCUGCUACGGCAUCACCAUCACGGUGAGCGCGCGGAACCUCGUGCCGCUGCGGUGCGCCGCCGCGCACCUCGGCAUGUCGGAGGCCGCCGACCGGGGCAACCUCGCCGCCAAGCUCGACGCGUUCCUCGCCUCCUGCCUCCUCCGCCGCUGGAAGGACGCGCUGGGCGUUCUCCACUCCACGCGCCACUACGCCCCGCUCUGCGAGGACCUCGGCCUCACGUCCCGCUGCGUCGACUCCGUGGCCGCCCUCAUCGUCAACCCGGACACCGUCCUGCCGGCGAAGUCGACGUCGGCGUCGCCGUGGUGGGCGCACGACAUCGCCGAGCUCGGCGUCGACCUCUUCUGGCGCAUCAUGGUGGCUGUCAAGGCGACCGGUGCCGUCCACGAGAAGACCGUCGGCGACGCGCUCAAGGCGUACGCGCGCCGGUGGCUGCCGAACGUCGCCAAGGACGGUCUCUCCGCGGACCAGCCGUUCGACGAUGACGCCGCCGGUAACACCGACGUGAAGCAGAUCACGACGAGGCACCGCCUCCUGCUCGAGAAGAUCGUGAGCCUGCUCCCGGCGGAGAGGGAUGCCGUCUCCUGCAGCUUCCUGCUCAAGCUCCUCAAGGCGGCCAACAUCCUGAGCGCAUCCGCCGCAUCCAAGUCCGAGCUGGUGCGGCGGGUGGCGUGGCAGCUCGAGGAGGCCGGCGUCGCGGACCUGCUCGUCCCGUCGCUGUCCUGCGUCAGCGAGACGCUCUACGACGUCGACGCCGUGGCGGCCAUCCUCGAUGAGUUCGCGCUGCGGUACGCGGCGGUGGCGCCGGCGCCGGCGCUGGCCCUGUCCGGGAGCCCCGACGACAGCCCGGUGCACUCGGGCGGGCACCGGCGGUCGCGCUCGGCCGAGAGCGUGAGCUUCGACGGCACGCGGCGGUCCUUGUCGGCGGCGCCCGUGUCGCAGGGCGCGCUGGCGCGGGUGGGCAAGUUGGUGGACGGGUUCUUGGUUGAGGUGGCCAAGGACCCCAACAUGCCGCUGGACAAGCUGCUCGCCAUUGCCGAGGCCGUGCCAGACAGCGCCCGGCCGGAGCACGAUGGCCUCUACAAAGUCGUCGACACAUACCUCAAGGUGAGUUCUUUGUUUUCGUUACUCCUGCAUUUCCAUGGUUACCAAAAUCUUCACUUUGGAUUAUGUGAAACUAGUCUUCUUGGAUUAUUAAAGUUUGCAUUAAUCUAGUGAUUAAUCUUUGCUUUUUUGGGGGUUAACUUUAGGCGCAUCCGGAGAUGAACAAAAGCGCGAGAAAGCGGCUGUGUCGGGUGCUCAACUGCCGGAAGCUGUCGGAGAAGGCGUGCGCGCACGCGGCGCAGAACGAGCUCCUCCCGCUGCGCGUGGUCGUGCAGGUGCUCUUCUUCGAGCACGCACGCGCCGCGGCGUUGGCGUCGGGCGGGCGCGGCGACGCCGCCGCCGCCGCCGCGGCGGAGCUGCCGAGCAACAUCCGGGCGCUGCUGUCCAAGGCGUCCGGGUCGUCGGAGGACGACGAGGCCGACCGCGUCGACGAGCAGCGGCUGCGCGCGCUGGCCGCCGGGGCGUCCCCCGGCGACGACUGGAGCGUCGAGGGCCUCCGCCGCGCGGCGUCCAAGAUCGCCACGCUGCGGAUGAAGCUCGCCGAGGAGGACGAGGACCACGACGCCGACGAGUUCGCGCGGAAGGCCGGGCUGGCGCGCAGCGCGUCGCUGCGGUUCAGGGCGUUCUGUGCCAUCCCCGCCGGGAAGCCCAAGCGGGUGCUCAGCAAGCUGUGGCCGAUCGGCAGGAGCGGCGUUAGCCAUUAACAGCCAGUCAUUAUUAGCUUCUCUGAUCUCCUGUUUUUGUUUUUCUGAGGGUGAUUUGUUUGUCUCUUCUAGUACUCCUACAUCUUCUUCUUCUUUCUCCUCCUCUUUCCAGUUACAGUUCCAAGGCAAAUUGUACCUUGCAUAGUUGCAUGUAGUUGUAAUUCCAAUGGUCACAAUAAAAAAAAUAGAAAUUGCACAGGCUACUUGCUCAUCUUAUCUGAAACCUGAUUGAUCUUUUAAGCUCGAGUGGCAUCGAUGAUCGAAUCAUUGCUUGCCAAUUGCCACACUCUAUUCUCCGUGAUUAUGAUGCGAUGGUGAUGAUUUCAGCGCCUCACAUUUCAUAGGACACUACACCCAAGCGAGUCCAUGACCAAGCGCCAUCUUAAUUUCUUUGUUAAUCCAAGCAGCAGCCUGUGAUUGCCACCCACUUGGCAAAUUAUUUGCAUCUCAACGCUCAGUGAGUAAACAAAAGGGGAGACACGAACAGGCAUGGAAUCGAGAUCGAAUCGAACACACAUACACACACACAGCGCGGCAGGCAGAUAUUGCAAGUGUUUUCUUUUUUGCUUUUUACCUGAAAGAUCCCCUUUUGUUAGGCCGCGUGUGGGAGGGCGGAUAUAUACGGCAUGAUGAUGGGAUGAUAGGACCUUCAGCUCGGAUUGCUGGGUCAGCAACCACUGAACAAGAACAGGUCAGCAUGGGCGCCUUUCCCCCCCAGCCAUCGAUGACAAUGUUUUAGCUUGUAGCUCAUCACUAGCAUGGGCCGGCUCAUCCAGAUCAGCCUCCUGGCCCCAGCCUUUUUUGUUCCAAAACAUGUGUCACGUCCUGAGAGAAAAAUUUUCUCAAGCGCAGGGUGCAGCAGUACAGCAAUCAGUUAAGGUGGCAUUAUUGCUCUUUUUGCUACUCUGAAAAAUUAAAAGGGGGGUGUCUAUUUUUUUUUCUGCGAGGAUAAAUAGGAACUAUUUGGAACAUGGGGAAGAACACGCCAUAUGCAUGCGCCUUGUCAAUGAGUAUUUUUCACAAAGCUCACAAAGUGUACAUCAUAGAAGCAUUUAUUUACUUUCGCAAAAAAAAAGAUUUGCGCUUUAAAAAAGUUCCAGAAAAAACAAUGUUCAUAUGUGUAGUGCGAGAAGAGGACAAACAUUUAUUGCAAAUAUGUAUGUUUUUUAUACAUAUGUGAAUGUUUUUGGAAGUUUGGAUUGAUGGCAGCGCCAGCCCUACCAAUAUUUUGAUCGUUGACUGUGAACUUAGUGUAUGUUUGGAUCGACGCCUGUGACCUGUCGUUGGCAAGCCAGCCCUCUUUUUUCUUUUUGCGCCAAUUCACGGACGAAUCCGUCACCGAUUAUUUGGCUCGCCUACGGAUUGGCAUUUGCUGUGGUCAGAAUCUGCACAAUAGAAAUGGAGCCUUAAAAGAACACAAUAUUAGGGCCGUGCUAUAUAGGAUCGAGGAACAAGCCGUGCAUGUAGUCCAAGCCGUCAGAUGGUGGACGAACGCUCCAGAUCGCCCAGGCUUCAAGAACCAAAUCUGCUACAAAUAUAGCUGUCCUGAACAAGCUUGCAGUUGCAUGCAUCCCAUCUUGCCAUCCAUCAUCCACACCUCUCUGCAACUGCUACUCGCACCAAACCGAGACAACCUCAGAACCACCACCUGACCUGCCCACGGCACCACCGCCACGCACGUACGCGCGCCUCUCUCGCCCGCCGGCCGGGACAGGACAGCGAUGGCGCACACGGGUGCUCGCCGGAAGACGACGCCGGAAUGGACAGGGACACGCACGCAGACGACGCAGGACAGGCAGUGACCUACUACUCUAAUAAAGCCGUGAGCCAGGCAGAUUAUCGACAGGCAGACAUGCGGCCAGCCAGCCAUCACACCAAGAUAAAUCGCCAAUCAGCCGAGGAGGAGCCCUCGGCAUUAAGCCAUCCAUGCAUGCAUGGAUGAUUCGAUCUCUCAUCCUCCUCCUCCGUCUCCAGGUGAUACGCGCGAUGUUGCAACAGUGCCGUCUUCGCUGGGGAGUGAAUGAGGAGUUCCAGGACCACAGGCACGAGGCAUCUGGUGUGUCGAGACGGCGUGGCUUCUGCCUCCUGGCCAUGGGAGGGAAGGGGAUUAAACAUCUCGAUCUGACACUGUUCGGCAGGCAGAUCCGUGACACGCCAGGGGGUUAAGCUCUUAACCGUUUCUUCCCUGGAUCUGAAUAACCGUUUCGUUGGAGAUCCCUGCGAUCGAUGUGCAUUGGCAUCCCGCUGGUGGAAAUGGUAGCUUCGGUGACAAACGGUCCGCCUUUUUUUUUUAAGCUCUUUUCGUGAAAGAUUCUCACAAAUAGACUCCUGGCGGAACCAAUUUCAAAAAUGGACCCUUAGCUUCACGCCAGCCAUCCUGGCGCCAAGGUCCAUGCGCAGCUGCUGACGCGGAUGCUGAUUUGGCGGGGGCUUGGCGCCAUCCAUCAUGGCGCCAAGCCUUGGUGCCGUGGAUCUUGGCGCCAAGCUUGGCGCUGUAGUUCUUGGCGCCGAGCAAUUUACCCCGUAGCUCUUCGUGUUUCAAACUAAACAAGUAUAAUUAUUCCGAGGAGUGUGUAACAAAUUAUGUUGCGGUUCAACUGGUUAGGAUGUGGGCUUCUUCUCCUAGAGACUAAGUUCAAACCCUUGCGUUGAAUCUUUUUUCUCUAUUGUACAGGUAAACAAGCGGUGCAACUUUGUUUUACGAAAUCUCAUAUCCUAGGAUAAUAUAGUUCGUGGAGUUUGUACAGUGCAGAACAAUUCAAAACUCAUGCUCUUCUAAUUCUUGUGUCAGGUUACCCUCGAUGUGGCUCUUCUAAUUCUUGUGUCAGGUUACCCUCCCUUCCAAAUUAAAAAAAUAAAAUGUAGAAAAAAAUUCAACACAAGGGUUUGGACUCGGGUCUCUAGGAUAAGAAGCUCACAUCCUAACCAGUUGAACCACAACUUAGUUUGUUGCACACUCCUCGGAAUAAUUAUACUUGUUUAGUUCGAAACGCGAAGAGGCACGGGGUAAAUUGCUCGGCGCCAAGAUCUACGGCGCCAAGCUUGGCGCCAUGAUGGAUGGCGCCAAGCCCCUGCCACAUCGGCAUCCAUAUCAGCAACUGCGCAUGGACCUUGGCGCCAGGAUGGCUGGCGUCGAGACGUUGUAGCUUGGCGCCAGCGUGGAUGGCACCAAGCUAAGGGUCCAUUUUUGGAAUUGGUUUCGCCAGGGGCUAUUUGUGAAAUUUUUUCGCGAAAAGGGCUAAAAUAAAAAAAAGUCGGACAAACGGUUUUCGUCACUAUGAAAGCUAAAUUUGUCACAAAGGAAGGUUUGCCACGAAUUUAUGACGAAUUUCAGCUCGUAAAAAAUGGAACGUCAAGUUUGUACUUCUAUGACGAACUGCCAAAAACGUCGUGGAACUGGUUCUAUUUGUGACAAAAAAAACUUUCAUCACGGAACCAUAUUUCAUUCUAUGACGUGUCAUAAAAAUGUCACUGAACUUUCAGAUCCACGUGUCCCCGUCCACACUGGCAGGUGAUAUGGCACCGUCCACACUGGCGGGUGACGUGUCUCGGACACGCUGGCACCACAGGUGACGUGUCGGGCCGCACGUGAAAAAAGAGGACAACCACGUGGCUAGCUAGCAUAAGGUGACGUGUCGAGACACCGCAAGUGCACGCGUCAUUAUUCUAUUCACCCAUAUGUCGCCAUCUUGUGUUGACACGUGUCGACCUUUUAACUAUCCACGUGUCAGUUUCUUACGUGUCCACGUGUUAUUUUCCUGUAUGUCCAUGUGUCACUGUCCCUUUUGUCCACGUGUCCUUUCCCGGUUUGCCCAUAUGUCAUUUUCCCAUUUGUCCAUGUGUCAUGUUCCCGUUUGUCUACGUGUCCUUUCCCUAUUUGCCCACAUGUCUUAUUUCUAUUGGUCCACGUGUUCUUUCCGUUUGUCCACGUGUUAUCUUCCUAUUAACCUGUCUUUUUUUACGGUUUCACAUGUCGAUUCGUUAGUGUUACACGUGCCAUUUUACUAUUAGUCCACGUGUCAUUUCUGAUCAGUCCACGUUUGCAAUUUUAUUUAUGACGUGUUCUUUUUUGGCCCACAUGUCAGUUACCGAUUAUGGGACCACCACGUUCUGUUUUCUGGAUGUCACAUGUGUCCAUAUCAUACAGGUCCAUAUUCAUACAAAACCAUUUCAUCAAACACUAAAUGAUACAGCACAAUUCACAUAAAGUUCACUACAAUAAAGUUACAACCAAAUAAGUUCAUGACUCCACCACAAUUAGUUCACUGACAGUUCAGAACCACAUAAGUUCAUAACACAAGCACCAAAGGUCACGACGGAACGCCAAGUGCUGACAACAGUUCCACACACAUAGGAUCAGGGCUGAGAAGAGAUACCAGGGGUGUUCAGGUUCAAGAUCUUCAUAAGGAUGAACUAUCCAAGGGCUGAGAAGCAGUACCAGGGGCAUUCAGCAACAGGUUCUGCAUGCAUAGUUUCCAUUGACAUCUAGGACAUCCAAAAAUGAACUAUUAGUUUACAAAUUAUAGUAAAAAAGGAUUAUAUUCAACAAUCUGGGAACAAAAGCAGAUUGGAUAACUGCUACUAAAUAGUGUUAAAAUAACAUACCACUGAAAUACAGGGGCAACCAUGAAUAUUAAAACUACGUGAUGAAGCAUGUAUAGAAAAGUAUUGGAGAAAGGACAAAAGUAUAAAAGAAGGACCUACUAAAUGGUUUAAGAAUCAUGUAAGUUUGGUUGCAUAAAGAGAAACCUAAUGAACAUGGAUAGAAUUGUAGGGAAACAUGUAUAUUAUAUGGAUGCAGGUGAAAUGACCACGUAGAGAUUCAAUACUAGUACAGACUUGUUGAGCAUGGCAACCAAGAUAACUUAAAAUUCAAAACAUCGAGCAAAUUAGCUAUUGGAAAAGCAAAUAAGCAUGUACAGGGACUUACAAGUGCUUCUUUGUCAACUUGACCAUCAACCUGUUACUGUAGUGCCUAUUCUUUUUCUGUAGGCUUCUUCUUGUUCUGGACCUGAUGUUCCAAAAUGGUGGUCCUAAGUCAUUCCGACCGGUCUCAUCACCGCUAUUAUUUUCUACAACUGGUGGCAAUUCUUCUAGAUUUUUCACGUGGUCCUGAUAUUUGUAGCCUUUUCAGUAACCUUGUUGAAGCUCCAGGAGUGACAUCAGUUGGCGGGAUUAACCUCACCCUAUUGGAAUGUCUACCUCCAGGAGCCAUGGCACCACUUGUUUUCCUCUUCUUCGCACAGACCUUCCUACACCCAGUCCGCAUAGGGCCCUGCAGAUUUCAAAAAGUAGGAGUUGUAAGCAUGUGAACAAAUUAAAAGCACUUCUAAGCAUUGGAGAUAUGCAAUCCCUACAUUAGAAAUAUUUAGUGCUCCUACUAAGCAUUGGAAAUAUCUAGUGCCCUUCUAAGCAUCCCCCACCACCCGCCAGGAUAGAAGAUGCACCUCAAUUGCUAGGGUUUUCAGCUCCUCUAAGUCUGUAUCAUUGGGCCUGUUCGUUGCUGCUUUUUUGCAGCGACUUCAGUUGCAGUUGCAAGCCCAAGUAGCUGGAGCUGCUGCCCAGCCGAACGGCUGUCUAAGUACCUAUAACUUAAUAAAUUAUUCCUUCAUUUAUAUUGGAUCCUGCUAUCUUUUUUUAAUUGAGGCAACAAUCAAAAUGCUAUUGUGUGGGCCAAGUUAAGAGCUGAUGAUAAACCUCACUUGUUUUGAAGGUUCUAACAUGUGUAAACAAAUUUGAAGUAUUAGUGACCUAAGUUGAUUACAUAUUUGUGACUGGAAUUAGAAUACAGACCCACUACAACCUCCAACCCCAAACCACGGAUGAAUGUGUCACUACCUGGAACCACAGAAGGUAGAUGGAUUUUGCAUACCUCUUGCUGCGGGGCGUCGACAUUUGACCAUUGCCAAUCGUCAGGGUAGCUGCUCAUCGAGGAUGGUGAGGCUGCUACGAUGCAAUGGUCAUCGUUGACGUUGUAGAAAAUCUAGUGCAACGGGCGUCGCCGAAGGGGUAGCAGAUCCGGUGCGAUGGGCGUCGAAGGGGUAGCAUAUCUGGUGUGACGGGCAUCAUCAAAGUGGUAGCAGAUCCAGUGCGGCGGUCAUCGUCGACGGGGUAGCAGAUCCGAUGCGGCGGUUGUCGUUGACGGGGAAGCAGAGUCAGAGGGGUAGUAGAUCCGGUGCGGCGGUUAUCAUCGAUGGGGAAGUAGAUCCGGUCCGGCGGUAGUGGUUGACGGGGAAGAAGAUCCAAUGCGGCGGUAGUGGCUGAUGGGGAAGUAGCUCUGGUGCGCUCAGCGUCGUCGAUGAAGCUCCGGCGCGGUGGCCUUCGGUGGAGGGUAGGGGUCAAGUGUUGGCGUAGAGCUUAAAGGCGAGAGGUGGAGGGGAAAGGGUAGAGGUGGAGGUGGAUCUGAGCUAAGGGAUAGCGAUAUGGGGUGCAGGGGGAGAUUGUCACAAUUACCCUUGAUGGACGGGGUAGUGGCGUGUCUUUUGCUUGAGGGUACAAGGGACAUUUCGCGGGAAAUAUUUUCGGCUUUGGCGGUAGAGUUGGCGCCCAGUGAAAAUUUCGGACCGUGAUGUCCAACUGACCCAUGGGCCCCACAUGUCGGUGUUCUUGGAAUUCCUUAAGAAAAAAAUGAGCCUAAUACUCCACGUGGUAGCACGUGAUUGGCUGAGAGGCAUAAGAACUCAUAAAUAGUCCAUCUUGCUCUCUUUAAUCUGGAAUUGAAACUUGUAACUAGUUAUUUCUCCCUCAUAGUAACUCCGAAUUUGAUGAUUCUUUUUCCUAAUUUUAUCUAAGAACAUUUAAUGGUGUUUGUUUGCAAGUUAGCUACCAUUUCUAAGAUAUUUUACAUAUUGCUUAGUUUCUUACACCUAAGUAGAAAAAUAAACAAAUAAUUUUGCAUAACAAUUGCAAAUAUAACUUCAUAUUUCCUAAUACUAAGGUAAAUAUGAGGUUGUGUCUGAGGUGUAUAUGAGUUCAAAAGUAUUUUGAACUAUGCAAACCUGAAAGAUUGACUUAAGUUAUAGGAAACUAUGUUGGAGAUGUAUUCAUUUGUGAACAAUGUAUAAUCCCACUUUAUUAAAACUAUUUGAAUUUUUUUGACAAGUUUAUGGACCUAAAAUAUGUUGUUGUGUUAGUUUGUAGAAUUUUUUAACAAAAUUUAGAUAUUAUUAUAAUUAUUUUGUAGUAGCUUAGAAUUAGAUGGUUGAAUUAUCCAUAUUAAAUAGUUGAAUUUUGCAUCUAUCUAUAAGACUUGGGCUAUGAUGGUAUAUAUGAGCCUGAAUAUAUGUUUUUUGUAGACUUUUGAAUCUUAUUUAAAAUACUUUUGAAAAUACUUGUAACGAUAAAUAUGAUGAAUGUUUGUGUUAGAUGGGCCAAAAAUCUUACCGUGAGUCUUUUUAUACUAAGCCCGAUUUCUCCUAGCCGUUCAUAUGGACACCGACGAUUCAGACCGACUAUUUGAUGCCACGGCCUCUGGCGGUUGCCGUCCCGAUUCCUGUUCCCACACAUGUUUUUCGAGGAGCCGGUUGCCAUCCUCGAGAGGCGCCGGUUGCCUUCCCAUGACAGCCGGUGAAACUUCCUAUGGAAGGCGAGGACAUCCUUAUUUAAUUGCCAUUGCCCCCACCAUCUGCAUUGUCGCCAGUUCCACUACCAUCUCAUCCCCGACGAGCGCACCUCACACCUGCAGCCCCACCGACACCAUGAAGAAAUCCAUCUCUCCCUUGGACCCGUCUCCUCCGGCUCCCCAUCGCGCCAUUGCCUCUCUCCCACCAGCUCCCCCUUGCGCGUCGAGCGAUCCUCCGGUGCGUCCUCCUCGUCAUCGCGCUCCCAUGGCAGUUUCUUGUCAUGGUCCCGUCGUGCCGGCCACAACUUCUCAGCGCCGCGCUACGGCCAAGAUGUCAAUGCGGCGCAGUCAUCCUGCUACGGUGGCAGCUUCGCGUCGGGAUCGCGCUCCGACGCCGCCGACCUCAACCCACCGGCGUUGCCCACGGAUUGUCGCCGCGGAGCCGCUAGGGGCUCCCCGUCGUGUUCCCGGCCUCCUCCAGCGAUGGGGGCGGCUUCCUCCACCCCUGCACCCUCGUCACCACCCGAAAAGUUGACCUUCACAGUGAACCUUCCAGUUGGUGUGAUCAACUCCGACUUCGAGUCCCGGACUGAGAUGGACUCGUCUGACGACCGUCACCGCGGCUACCGCAUGCCCUUCCCCCAGGGCGACGCUCUGCGCGUCUUCCACAAUGUUGACAACACCUUCGCGUGCCCCGUCUACCCUACCAAGAGGCACCGGUGGAGGAUCCUGAAUGAGGUCAAGGACCACGUUGUGGGAAUGACAACGUCCGGACCCCUAAGGAAGGACAACAAGAAGUGGAGCUACCACUGCGUCAUGGCCUGGAAUGAUGGGUGGAUGUAAGCGAGCCGCGGUGCGCCCAACCGUGCCUCGUCACCGCGCUGUCAUUGUCGUCAUCGAUUGCUGUCGUGUGGCAACCUACCAUGCUCCACGUUUGCUAAUUAAGUUCACACAGGAGCUAAUUUCAGUUGAAGUAGUACUGUGUAUGUAGCUGCAGUGGGAUGGCACUGCUACCUGUGUUUAUGUACUCGAUCCAUAUGUGGAGCUCGUGCUCUACUCGUUUAAUUGUUUUCGGUGCUUAAUUUAUUCUAUGUUUCCAUGUGUCUGCACUGGCGACGACGGCGAGGAGGAGUUCUUGAAAAACCCUCUUGGAACUGCUGCCGACCGCCAGGAAGUUAAGGCGACACCGUGUCUCAGGGAUGGCAACCGUCUUCUCGGUGAGCAUGCGCGGGAACAGGAACCAUUGCGCCUGUGUGUGAGUAUACGAGUGUUCAAAAAGAAUGCGAGUGUGGAGUUAGUCAAAAACACUUGAGUAGCCCAGUGGUGGAUAGCAACUGCCGCACUGCCUUUGACCUGUGUUCGAUCCUGUGCGGCAGCAAAAUUUUUGCUCGCUUUGGUGGCUCACUCAAACCUGGACCAGCUCCACAACAAUUUCAUCUCGGGCUGGACUUUGAAACAGGGCUCCACCAUCACACAUGGCCACAGUGUGGACACGUUGGACCAGGCAAGCAGGCCCCAUAUCUAUACGUGGCUGGCACGACUACUUGCUGGACCCACUGCGCGUACACGUGGACCACCAGGACCCACCCAAUGGGACCUGCAUGUACACGUGGUAGCCACAUCGACUUGCUAGCCCACACUCGUACACUUGGAUGGCCGGGUCCCACCUCCCCAGUGAACCCCGUUGACAUAUUGGACCCACAACCCUGACACGUGGACCGCGGGUUCCUGUCACCACACGUGGCUGCUAGGUAAACAUGUUGGAUCAGUCAACCGGGACCUACAGUUACACGUGUUAGCCACGUCGUCAUGCCGGACCCACACUCAUACAUGUGGAUGAUCGGGUCCCACCUCUCUAGUGGACCCCGCGUUGACAUAUUUGACCAACGGCCCUGACACAUGGACCGGCAGGUCCUCAUCGCUACACAUGGCAACCACGUAGAUUUUCAUCAUAGAACGUCAUGCACAAAACGUCAUGGAAGCUUAGUGAGUAUUUCUUCCUGUAUGAUAUUUGCAAGUCGCUGGCGUCAUAGAUACGAGAUGUUGGUGGCGCACCGUUUUGUGACAACAUGAGAUGUUGUUCUAUGACGCGUGUUUUUUUCCGUCAUAAUUCCAUAGCGGCUGAGGGCUCCCGCCGAUGAUCUAUGACGAACCUGAGAUUUUCAUCAUAGAACGUCAUGCACAAAACGUCAUGGAAGCUUAGUGAGUAUUUCUUCCUGUAUGAUAUUUGCAACCUAAGCAGCACUGAUGAUAUAUAACGGAUGAAAAAUGCGACUUAGUAUGCUUCUUGGGUGAAUAUACAUACUUUAUCAGAUUAGCAAUUUUUGAGAUCGAUGUUCACUUAAUUACCUAGGAAUCUAGGAUCCGUCUUUGUAUUUUCACAGUUGAGAUUUGCUUCGGUAACUCUGUGUUGACCUAACCUGAAGUCAUAACUUAGACGCAGCAGUUAUUCAUUAAUCCAGCCGUCUGAUAUAAAAUGUGUACUCGUGAUCGUGAAUUGGAGAUGGUUUCGGUCAAACUAAGUAGAUGAGUAAGAAAGAAGAGGGCAGCCAUGAGAUCUUAAAAGGUCGGUGCAAGAUUUUAACAUUUUGUUUAGGUAAUGCAAGGUUUUGACUGCAUCUCUGAAGCCCUGAACCUCAUGUGCCUGAUGCUUCUAUUAGUUACUGCUGAUCAUGGCAUUAAUCAGCGACCAGGCCGGCAAAUAACGCGCAUACCGAUGCGCUACACAUUAGCCACCCCAAACAGCACCAUCAGGGCAACUGGAAAUAAUCAAAUGACAGCAGGAUUUGUCUUGCCUACCUGCUCAGGGGACACACUGCAUGCAUCACCACAGUCACACUCAGACCAGAUCGACAAGGGUUGCAGAAUUGUGCAGGCAGACAACAGACCAACCAAAAAGUCAUCACUUCAAAGAAGCACCAGCUUUUGAUCUCACAGCCUGCCGUGAUGCAACAGCAGCAACUUGCAAGCUGAAUUCUCCAGAAUUUGGAUCAGGACCACAUGCAUAAUUUAGCAGCAUCAUUUGUGGUUUCUAUAUGGUUGGUUAUUCUGGGGUUGUAAGCAAAGAUCCCUGGCAAAAACCCAACAGGAAACCCUGGUCACAGGUUGUUCACCUGCCUUGUUCCAGUGCCUCAGCUAGUUAUAUAUCUGUAAAAGAGGGAAAGUACAGUUCUGCUGCAUGUGCACAGGGAAGAAAAAUAAGGUAUCAGUGUACGUGCAACUAGAUGAGACCAACUUUGUGAGGCUACAAUGGUUACAACUUACAAGCCAUGGGUGCCAAGAUAUUCCAAGCUUCGAGCAUGGCAUGCCAAAAGUGCCAACAGGUGUGUCCUUGUGUUCUCAUUGGUCUGCUUAUCAACUCUGGUAUCUAUUGUGUUUCUUUUAGGCAUAAACUAAUUAUAUUUAACCUUUAUGAUUCAGUUUAGAGUUACGUGUAAACAAAGUAGUAUCAUUGAUUUUUUUAUUGCUUUAUUUUUGCCACUUUGAAGUUAACUAUUCUGGCCUUGUAAGGAAGAUCCUUGGCAAAACCCAGCACAUCACCAUGGCCACAGGUUGUUUCCCUGGCUUUCUGUUACCAAUAAAAAGGGCUAGUGCAUGUGCACAUGAAAGAAAACAAUACGUCGUACGUGCAACUAGAUGUGACCAACAGCAUAAGUACAAAAGAUGAGUUUGUUUACUAGUGUUUGCUGGUCUGAAGGAUUAUGCUUGCUGAGUUUUAUCCACCGACUAGCUAGGCUUUUAACAAUACAUGCCAGAACCAGAUUUAGGACCACAUGCAUAGUUUAUAAGUGCAUUUCGUUGAGGGUUUUAUAUGUACGUUGCUUUGUGAAGUCCUUUUUGCGAUCAGCAAGUUUAAUUUUUGUUGAGAUGUAAGCAGGAUCCUAGGCAAUAACCCAGCAGAAACUGUUGUCACAGGUUGUUUCCGUGGCUUGGAGUGCUGCUGGUUGUAUGAUCUGUAAAAGAGGUACGGUGAACUGUGCAUAAUCAUGUGCGAAAGAAAGAAAUUAUUGUGGCGUACGUGCACCUAUCUCGGACCAUCAGUUCUAUCAUAAAAGAUAGACAUACGACCAUCAAUAUUCGGCAUUUAAACCUCGUCAUAAUUCAUAAACUUUUCAUAGGAUAACGCAUAAAAAAGAAUUCAAACUCCAAAACAAUAAAGAAUUCUCCUGUGGACUAUAUAGGAUAGUUUAUAAACUCGAAGGGCUCACGUUAAAAAUGACUAUAGGGGUUUAAACCCGGCUUCUCACCUUAUGCCACACCGAUUUCAAAAACACUCAAUAGCACACAUGUUCUAUUAUUUACCGAAGCAUAGGUUGAGCGAAACCUACAACCUGUUAGCUAGGCUUCGCAUACCAACUCGAUGACAUAUACAGAACUUUAUCUAUCUAUCAAAGAGUUACUUGCAUUUUGUGAGGAUCUCACAUUUCAACCUGCAAAAACAUCUAUUUGUAUCGUUGUCAGUUUUUUAGAAAUAGUACCAUUUUUCUACACAGGGAUGGAUCCAACAUGGGUGUGGGUGUGUGUGUGUGGGGGGGGGGGGGGCAGCUGGAGCCCCUACCCAUGGAUCCUAUGGAGCCCCCAAAGGCCCCCUGCAAUAGAUGAAGAGGAGGAAGAAGAAAAGGAGGGGGAAGAAGAGGAGAGAGGAGGGAGGAAGAAGAGGAGGGAGGAGGAGAUUGAGCCCCGUUGUGUGAUCUUGGUUCCACCCCAAUUUCUAAAGGAACUACACAGAUGCUCAACGUUGAUAUGGACAUUGAGAAAUACCAUUUUUUUAGAGCAAGAUUAAAAAUCAUCUUGGAUUGGAACGUGGGAGUUGAGAGAACUGUAUCGAAUCGGGGCGAUCUUAUUGAAAGCGGUACGGCUGAUGAGCCUGAUCAGACGGCUGCAGAUGCAUGGGACUCCGGCCAGGUUCCGUGUGCACGGUUGCAACCCCAACUCCAUCCAAGCUGGUUGCCUGUCCCUGUAUGGGUUCGUCUCCACUCUGUAGCCGGCAACGCGUGGAUCCAAAGCCAGGAUUGGCUGCAUCCAGGGCACACACAUCCGAUGCGAUAUCGAGAUGUGAUGCAGUUCACCUGCUCGAUCGGCAGCUUCCUAUGGAGUAUCUUGGGUCCUGGCUACCUAUUCCUAAUCCUACAGGCUUCUUUGAUGACCCUUGUUCUUCUAUAAACUGGACAAAAUUGGAGAAAUGUAUACUCUAAACUUUUAUAUUUUGGAAUGGAGGGGGUAAGCAAGUUGUUGAGAAAUAUAGACGCGUGCGUUGGCGACACGAUCCUUGUCGAUUUGGAGCCUGAUGUUCUCCAGAUUUGUCGUUUGUUUGCUUGUUGUUUCAGCCGAAAUGGCGGUGGUCAGUCUGACGCGUUUGAUGGCAACGGAUUCAGUGGUUCUGCUUCUGCAUGCGUAAAGCACCGUGAUGCCUUCCCUUGAUAGCCUAGUGUGCUAGUGUUUAACCACCUCUGAUUUGUUACCCUCGUUUCAUUAUUUCAGAUGAGGAAGUGCCGGCAUUUCUUACACGAUGUGUCCAUAUCAGUGUUCUUCACCUUUUAUUGUUUUUCAGAUGCACCUUUUUGCUUAGUAGAAAAGUAUUAGACAGGCCCAAGUACAAACGUAUUUUCUGAUUGAGGGAAAAAAAGAAAAAGGGGAGCACUCCCGACCCCUACUAUCUGAAAUGAGGAUAGCUUAAACUAGUAGGUGCCUUUGAGGUUGCUUUCCGCUAAGAUCCGCAUUUGCAGCGCGAUCAGCACUAGCAUCAGUAAGUGUCCACCUUGCACAGCUAGAGCCAGAGAAAAUUCAUCGGCAACCAUUUUCCUCGCGUUUCUGUGGCGCGGCUGUUGGAACAGGAUGACAUUCUUAUUCCAACUAGCCACGCAUCCUUCUCAUGUGAACAUAAGCGGUCUGAGUCACCCAAGAUGAAUUUGGAAUGCAGGAAUUUCAUAGGAAUUCUUUUACAAGAACAAAUCAUGAAAACUUUCCGUGCUCCAAUUGAGCCUAAGCCAUUUGCCCGGAUCAUUUGGACCACAUACGAGUAUAUUCUGAUGCAGAAUCUGGAACUCAGACUUCUGUGUUGAAUAAUAUGGAGGAUCUGUGAGAUCUGAUUAGCUCCAUGCAGACUCCAAAUCGGCUCGAGAGUGGUGCAAGGUGUGCCGGCAAUUUGACAUGAAAAUUGACAAGGUAAACAUUAAAUUCCUGAACCGAUCGGUGGCAAAGCCUCUCGAACUCAUGGGUAGACGUUCUUGAAUAAACACAAUAGAUAGAUAUUAAUGUAAGCAUGUGAUGUAAAUAAAUAAAUAUUAAUGGCAUGUGCCAUCGACUAUGUCAGCCGACGGGGUAAAAUAAAGCAUUAUAACACAACAACCAUAAAAGGGAGCCCUCAUUAACUACGCGCUUAUUGGAUAAGCUAACAGAUCUAGCCAAUGUCUUGAUAAGUGUAUUGAACUCAGAUAAGGUAACACGAAUGAGAGGACAUUGGCAUCAAUCUACCAACUUAAAAGAUUAGAACAUAGCAACAAGGACCAGCCGAUGCUGACCGUACACAAGCCAGAUGUAUUAACAGAUUUUAAUUAAUGUCUUGAUAAAUGUAUUGAAUUUAGAUAAGGCAACACGAAUGAGAGGGCAUUAAUCUCGAUCUGACAAUAUAAAAGACUAGAGCACAAUCACCAAAGACCUUUUGCCUACCGCUUGCAAGUCAAUUAAGGUAACAAAGUCCACUCAAUGUUAUGACUGAGUAAUUAAACUUAGACAAUGUAACACGGUGAGAGUGUAUUAACUUCAACCCGUUAGUCUUAACAGACAGGUUCACAGCAGCAAGGCCUCGCAUGCGCCCCUAUCGGCUCAAUGACGUCAACAUACUUCCAUGAGAUAGGAUAAAACCCGACCGAAACAUCAGCUCUCAACGGUAGCACGCUGAUGUCAGAGGCCUGACGGUUAGUAAUAUGAGGGACAGAAGUAAAGAUCUAUCGGAUCUAGAAUAUAUAAAGCAGUAAAAAGCAUGCAGAGUCUACCAGCCGAUACGAUCUGAUAACUGUGAACAUUUAAACAAGGUAAGGGAGCCAAUGAAGACAACCUAACCAGAUCUAAGCCGUUCGAUAACUUGAGCAACAUCAAAAACAAGUAGAAUAUUGGACAAAGCCUAGAAAGUUCUACUUGCUCUCUAAGAUAACUCGAUAACUAGCCACACAACAAUAUCAGAAUAUAAGACUUAACUUAGAAAGUUCUGAUAGAGAUCGUAAUGAUCAGGUGACAGUACUUACAAGCUCGCCCGAUAUCGAAGCCGAUGCAGCCUUGUGCGUUAGAAGGAACUCGUCGAAUCUACUCUACUCCUACUCCUAGGGUUUUGGCAGUGUGACGCCGAAAGCUUGUAUUGAUUGAUUGAUUGUCUAUUACAAGGCUCAUGGGUUUAUAUUUAUACCCUAGAGCAAGCUAAAAUCCCAGUCAGAUACGACAUAAAUUAUUACAGCUCUUUCUAAAAACUACUAAAGAUAAAUAUCCACGCUUUCCCUUAUUUGGCGGAGUCGAUUUCGCUUCAGAUUGGGUCCGCCUGGUCUUCCAUCGGCUUCUAAAACCCUGGUCAACAGCGGUCAGUCUUGAUCAACGCGGCAUCAUCAAUAGACCCUGUUCGCUCUCCUUCUGUUCUCUCUCCUUCAUCGGCUAUUAAAAUCUUAUCCACAGUGAUUGACUCUGGUUAAAAACUGGUAUCAACACCGUAACAUCAUACCUACCGUAGCAUCAUACCUCCCAAUCAUACGCUCUCAAAGUCCAAGCACAGUGUUCUUGACUUGUUGUUGAUCCUAUCGUGCCAUCCUACAAUGUGCCUGCCUGCAACCCAUGGCUGAUCCGAUCCUCACGAAGGCGAGACGGUAUUUAGUACUGCAAUUGGGCAAAGGAUUAGGACAGCAAUGGCAGCCACUUGGACGGGUGGGCCAGCGCCCCUGCCGGGUGGCCUCCCCCGUGGGCGGCAUCGACAGCUACGCCCAAGCGACUAGUCUCUCGGUGGGAACAUACCUUUUGCUUCACGUCGGAUGGCCGAAAAAUAGUCGCUGCCUGGCUCGCCAGCUUGUUUUCUAGUACUACGCCUCACAUGAACGCUCUUGCCUAACAUGACGUGUGCGCGUGUGUGCAAGUGCUCAUGGUCCCUGGACUUAGCCCGCCACUUGGAGAUGCACCGGACAAGCAAUUGGAGCCAUGUCAUCGCCAUGGUCGAAAUGCCUGUACCUAAGUUUACGAGGUUCUAGUGCGAAACAGAAUAGUGAACCCAUAUUUUCAAAAUGCGAACAACAAAAAUGUAUUUAUACCCCAUAAUGUAAUAACUAUAAACAUUGAUGCUGCCACGAUCGCAGGGAUAAUAGAACUGAAGCUGGUUAAGCAUGCACUGUGAGCUACUGAGUUUGACAUGAAAAAGACUGGAUUGUAACGUACUUAAUAAGUUCAUUGCUGCUUUGAGUGGCCCCUCAAAAUUGGAGGCCUGUACAGUCGCGCCACUCGCGCCAUGUAAUAUACGGCACUGGAUUCUAAUGCAGAGGUGCUCGUGGUCUAUGUGGGAGAUCCAAUGGAACAUGUUCAGCAGAAGAAAGUCCCCAGCCUCGAUCGGUCUCUGAUGCUCUGGGCACUAGUUUUACUGACGAUAGCACCAUCAUCAAGCAACGAUUAGCCUAGUGAUUAGAAGAUUCCUUUUCCAUGUCUGUGGUCACCCUAGGUUAGAUGGAUCAAAAGUAACUCCAUUAAACAGCUCACUUUCUUGCCAGAUUAGCACGCCUCAUCAGAGUAUUCUAGCCUGCACUGCACCCGUAUCAGCUUUGGCGAGCACACACCGCACAUAAUCGCAUUGUUUAUGCGUCACAAAACUGCCGCAGCGAUCUCCCUGCCCAGGAAAGCCUGGGCAGAGCCGCGAAUUAUUAAAGCGGUCGAGGACAUGACAGUGCUUUGCUUGUGUAAUGUUGACAAACUUUGCAUGCCGAUGGAUCCUCUGAUAUAUACCUUCUCCGUGUUUUUUAGUGUCAGAAUCAUUUGAGAAUGCAGGCAUGCAGAUCGUCCGGUCCUUUUGAUUGUCCCUGGAGAUCAGAGCCGGUAGUCUCCAGCAACAACUUGCAGGAUUUUCCCUCCAAAACCGAGGCAGGGCUAGCUCGUUUGGAUUUGUUCGUGGUUGUUUAUUGUUGGGGCAUCCUGGGUUGGAUAGAUUCCGGAUCUCGCAGGAGUUGGGGAUCUCUCCAAGUUGCCACGUCGAAGCAUGCAUUUCCCAACCUCCUCGUUGUUUUGUUUGUGAGGGCAACGCCUCCAUUAUGUUGUUUGGGAGAAGGGCCGCGGGCGGGGCCUUGCACAUGUUGUUUCCACCAAAGGACAGAACUCUACCAAAUGUUGUGUUGUUAUUUAAUCUUUGUUCAUUCCAUGACAAAUAUAAUUGAUGAACCUAGCUUACUUGAAGUUGAUAGUCCCUACUAUUAAAUAGAAGAAAUGAGCAAUGUUGGUGAUGUGCUCAACAUUAUUGGCCAAGGAUAAGUUGAGGGCGGUGCCAUUUGAAAAGGCCAACUAGUACCAUGGUAUAGUCAAAGGGGGUCUUAUUAGCAGCGUUAUGAAGACCGUCAAGGGGAGAUUGAAUUGGGUUGAGGUCUUCAAUAAAAUGCCAGUUUUUUUUUAUAAAAUAGUUUUGGUUCUCGAAAGGUACCACCUACAAGUUGCUUGGAUGUAACAAAUUUGGUAGUUUUAAAAACCAUGGUACUGCUAAAAUUGUACUUUGGAGCUUCAGAACCGGCACUUAGAACUAUUUUUUUCCUUCUAACCUUGGCUUCAAAGGCCUUUACUAUAGUAUGAACUUCAUUACGGUAUCGAUCGAGAUCCGUAUGAACUUCAUUUUCUGGUAACUUGACAUUUGAGCAUACACUUCAUUUCCGACACGGCAUCUAUGAUUGCUCAAUAUAUGUCUAAAUCAUAGGGGGCAAAAACAUCAAGCUGAUGGUGCCAUUUCACUCCGUGGAAUAUCGCUACAGGGGUUCCCAAUCACAAGUGGUCCAAAUCGCAUAUACAAUGCCUAUCCACUCUGGCAUAGGCGAAAAUCUUUUUUUUUCAUUUCUCGAGGAGAUAUUUUUUCGGGGACACAUGAAAAUAUAUUUCUAAAGGAUAUUAUUUUUCAAGAAAUACGAAAAUUAAUUGAGAACCCUCUGCUGUGUUUCUUCCCUCAAGUCUAAGAAGUCUGCUCACAACACAACGAAAAGGAGAGGUCUACAAAACUUGGCCCACUGGGCCGUGGAUUUUUCUGACUUUGGACCCUGACCAGGCCUACCAAAAAUGCCCAUACGGCCAUACCGAUCACCGCAAAAGAAGUCAAACUGUGGCAGGUCUCGCAGCCGGCAGCCGCAGCGCAUGCAGCGUGUUUGACGUUAUGCUUUUGUCGCUGCUUGCGUGCUGCGUGCAUCGCCGUCACGGCGGCACCGCCCGACCGCCGAGCGUCGCCGGCCAUCGAUCGGGGUAUGAAAAGCACGCGCACGGCUCUUGACUCAUCGCUUGCCAGGCUACAGGCUACAGCUGCACGCUGUCAUCGUCACUGUCCCCGCUCGCCAGCCAGACGCCGAGCGCCUCUGCACGACCGUGCAUGCAUCUACAUGCCGCCAUGAACAGGUGACUGCCAGUGUCCAGUACUUUCAGGCGCCAGUGCUAGCUGCUACGGACGCACGGAGCCAGGCUGGUCGCCCGGCGGACGGACCCGCCCGGGCGGCCAGCGACGCACGUCGGCCGGCAUCGCGGCAGCCUCCGCACGGAAGCGUGCGCGAUCGGGUCCGUUAGAUGUCUUCGUCCGCGGCUGUCCCAUGUCGUCCGGCCCCGCGAGAGCGGAGAGCGCGCGCAGCAGGGCGCGGCAGCCGGCAGGGCAUGGCCGGGCCGAACAGUCGUGUCACCCCGGCCGCAGCCGUCGAUUCAAUUCAGUCAGUGAGUACGGCACCUCCUCGUUUAAUUUUGGCAGCAACAUCCAUCGUAUCCAGAGGAAGAGUUCGCGAGGCUGCCGGUUGGCCCGAUAAGAGCAGCAGGGAGUGGUGCCCGCCGAACAGGAGCUCCCCAAUCAUCAUCCCCGACACACACAGCGCCUUGCAGGGUCGUGCAUGCAUGUGAGCAGUUCCGGGCGCGGGCAUCCAUUGCAUGGACGAGGCGUCGCAGGGCACCGUGUGCAACAGUUCAAGCGAGCUUGCAUGCGGCAGGGCGCAGCGGAGCGAGGCUGUCCGGGGGGUCGCGGCCAUCUCUCCGUGCCCCUGAGCAGUCGCGGUCGCGCGGCGCCCCGAGUGUCACAGUGUACCGCCAGACGCCAGCACGCGCCACGAAUAUAAUAGGAUGUUGCCGAUGCUAUGCCAGCGGAUCCUGCAGGCGGAUCUCGCCGUACGUGCCUGACGAGGAAGUUACUACCACAGGGGCACAGAGCAGGGGAAGCAGACGCUGGAAGACCGACCAGCAGGACACCCGGGUAGAUGUCCGGGCCCGGGCAGAGCUGCAGAAGCCAGCCGGCAGACAGCGACGCACGUCGGCGGCAACGGCACCGCGCGGCAGUGGUGUACUGGUGUAUGGUAUGGUAUGGAAGCUGCCUGGCCUGAACGUCCAGAGACGUGUAGUGUAGCUCUGCCUGUGCCUGGCAGACGGGGUGGGCCGACGGCCGGCGCCCGGCGCCCGGCGGGGUUUCCUGUGGGUAGCCGUUGAGCCUCGCUUUCAGGACGCGCGCGUGUGAUCGGCCGGUUUAUGAAGGCGUCGUCCAUGGCUGUCUCCUACGAGAGACAGAUGAGGCAUGCGACGGACAAAAUCGUGGCUCCCCAAAACUCGGAUGUCGUCGUCAGACCCCUCCAGAGUCCCCACACA